GUUUUAAUAGUUUAAAAUAAAACUCUGGUCUUGUAAAUCAGAAAUGAGAAGAUUCUCUUAAAACU
rnacentral:tRNA from 1 species